rnacentral:rRNA from 1 species
AACGAACGCUGGCGGCGCGCCUAAUACAUGCAAGUCGAACGAGAAGCUGUAGCAAUACAGUUGUACAGUGGCGAACGGGUGAGGAAUACAUGGGUGACCUACCCUCGAGUGGGGAAUAACCAGCCGAAAGGUUGGCUAAUACCGCGUACGCUUCCCAGUCUACGGGUUGGGAAGGAAAGCGAUGCCGUGGGUAUCGCGCUCAAGGUUGGGCUCAUGUCCUAUCAGCUUGUUGGGGGGUAACGGCUCACCAAGGCAACGACGGGUAGCUGGUCUGAGAGGACGAUCAGCCACACUGGCACUGCGACACGGGCCAGACUCCUACGGGAGGCAGCAGUAAGGAAUAUUGCGCAAUGGGGCGAAAGCCUGACGCAGCGACGCCGCGUGGGGGAUGAAGGUCUUCGGAUUGUAAACCCCUUUCGGGAGGGAAGAUGGAACGAGCAAUCGUUCGGACGGUACCUCCAGAAGCAGCCACGGCUAACUUCGUGCCAGCA